AUUAAUCACAAAGCCAAGAAGGGAGUUCCUGGUUCUUGUUCUACUAUUCUAUAUUAUACAUAGCACUUUGGAGAUAACCCACUCAAUUUUUCAUCUAUUCUUAUUCCGCGAGGACGUUACAAUGAGCCAAUCCGAGGGACUCCAUUUUACAUAAAAGUUUCUGCUGCUGACUUCUUCCUCAACCAUCCUAAGGAUCGGAGUAAUUUUCAUACAUUGGUUCUUCCUGGAGCUUAUUUGUAAAAUACAGGACGUCCCUAGUCUAUACCUAAUCCAUUUUUGACGUGUGUCUGUUAAUGCCUUCUUCAAAAUGACAUUUGGAUCUGCAUGUUUCAUGCAUUGAAUUAACUUUUUUGCAUUAAAGUAUUUACUUAAUUUUUCCUUUCAAUCCCUUGGAUCAUUCUUUUUUCAUUGUGAGGACUGAGGCGUAUAAUGAAUUUUACAUAAUACACGCAGCCUCAUAAAAACUGAUUGGUACUAAUUUAACUCCAAAAAUUCGUUUAACUAAAUAAAUUUUUCAUAUGUAUAAAUAUUGUUGAAACUCCUAAUUCAUGAUAAGAUUAUAUUAAAAUAAGGAAUUUUUUUCAAUGUCUUAGAUUCGUAAAAGUAUUUUUAACAUUUUAAUUAAUAUUUACGACUGUAAAAUGGAUGGAAUAGUUAUAAAAAAUGAUACGCUACUUAAAUGAUGUAAUGAAUAUUGUCUUCAAGUAAUUAAAACUGUUUUAUUUUUUACAUAGUUAACUAACCGAAUUAUAAAAGGGACUUUACUAACGAAAGAUUAAAGAUUGUGAGUUUUAUUAUUUUGAAAUACUCUGAUUCAGAGUUUUAAAUUAUAAUUUAUUUUAGAUGAAUAAAUAAUCUAUCAAAA
rnacentral:lncRNA from 1 species